UCAGUCACGCCGGUCCCGGCGCUUCCGCCCGUCAGGUUAGGUGGAGGCACCGCUGCCGCCUCUCGAGGGAGUCGCACGCUGGCUCCGCCCACAGCCGGGCGCCGGGGCGGCCGGGCGCUGCAGGGGAGGGCGAGGUCCCUGCGCCGGCGCGGCUGCGGGGCUGGAGGAGGUGGAGGAGCGGCGGCGCGGUGGGCCGCGGCCCUGAGCGGGACCCCGCGUGGGGGGGACUACUUCGCGAGGCGGAGGGUUACGCGGCACGCGCCGAGCAGUUUGAAUGGAUCUCCAUACAAAGAAUGGAACUCCGCGGGGCGGGGCCUGAGUGGCCGGCGCUGGUCACGUGGAGGCUCAGCCCAGGACGGGCACUGUGUGCCCCUCGGCCGGGGCCCAGUUGAUCCACACAUUCAUACCGAGCAGCAGUUAGGAGGAGUUUGCCUGUGGACUCGAACUGGAGCAGGAUCAAACCCCAAGUGGCUCCACCCCUCCAGAUACAAGCGGCAGAUGCCACCUACAGAGGAGCCAUCUGCUGGGGUGAUGGGGAACUCGCUGCCACUCCUCUUUCCUCAGGCUGUGGCCUCUCCCAAGACUUUUGCAGUUACGAGUUUAAAAAGAUAGUUCACACCUAUCAGACUUGUUGUUUCAACAUCACUGCAGUGGUUACAUGCAGAUCAUUUAUUCCUCUGACUUUUCUUUGUAAACCACAGUGGUUGCAGACAAAACACCCCUAAUACAGUUAAGGCCAUUAGUUUCCAACUCUUGGAAAACUUCAAAUGUUUGUUCCACAACCUAGUAAAGAAAAUAGAGAAAAUUAUUGCUCUGCAUUUUGUCAGAAUCUAACAAUAGUUGCACAAUUUGUGAUUUUUUUUUUCCAUAGGAAAAGCCUUUUACAAAUCUACCUCUAGCGAUAAAGAAAACUGCCCAGAGCAGACCCACAGGAAUGGUUUACUGAGCAUAGUUUUUGAUUUUUUCAGGCAAGGGUCUGAAAAAGGUUUCAGACGAGGUUCAGAGGCAGUUUUUGCUGCCUCUGAACACUGCCAAGUGCCAAAUAUUGCUUUAAAAUCUGUUUUAAAGCAACAGAUUCCAUUCCCCCAGCGUACACCAAUCGCCCAAAAGAUGCCUGAAUCCAAAGAGAAGUUUAUGAUCAAGCUUUAACCGUGCAGGCUGACCUUCACGGGCAGGCACCUAAGCUUUCCAGAGCCCCCCUGAGGCCUCAUCUAUACUACAUAGUUUUCCUGCUGAACUCCGGUUGUGCUGGCAACAUUUUGAGUGAGUUCAUAUUCAAAACCCUUCUACAGCCGCAGAACCUCGCCUCCCCUCCCCUGCCCCUUUCUGCAAGGGGGGGGGGGGCACUCCACUGCUGCUGAAUGAAGAAAGGCCUCUGCCUCUGUCAGGAGCCUCAAGCCUACACAUGUGGACACUCCUACCCCAUCAACCAUCUGUGACAAUCUAUGCAGCAGCUGGUACCUACUCAGGGCAAACUUCAGGCUUCGGCAGCACAGCGGCUAAGCGGAGCCAUUUAAAUAGAGAGCCAUAGCCUGACUCAGCAAAGAUUCUGCACUGGCACCGAGUUCUCUCCACAUGGAUCAGGUUGUAAAUCUGGCACUUUCCAUCCCAA
ensembl:lncRNA